rnacentral:rRNA from 1 species
UACGGGGGGGUGCGAGCGUUGUCCGGAAUCACUGGGCGUAAAGGGCGCGUAGGUGGUUUGAUAAGGGUGUGGUGAAAGUCCGGGGCUCAACCCCGGAUCUGCCGUGCCGACUGUCAAACUCGAGGGCUGUAGAGGCAGACGGAAUUCCGGGUGUAGCGGUGGAAUGCGUAGAGAUCCGGAGGAAGACCGGUGGCGAAGGCGGGUCUCUGGGCCGAUACUGACGCUGAGGAGCGAAAGCGUGGGGAGCGAACAGG